rnacentral:sRNA from 1 species
AUGUUGAAGUCUCCCUAUUUUUUUUAAUAACAUUAAUUCCUCUCAAUCAAAAUUUUUUUUUUUGAAUUCUGCUGUGUAAUAGAUACACAAUCACUAAAGUAAAAAAAUGUUCAUCAGGUGUGUAUAAACAACUAACAAUAGAUAUACUUUUUUGAAGUGAAGUUUACUCUCCAAUUAAUAAGCUUGGAUAAUGGAGACUGUUUUGGCCUGCUCAACAACUGUACUGUAAUUAAUUUGACCUACUCAAUAGUAUGGUACUUUUCCUAAAGCAACUAAAAUGUGGUGUGGAAUUAUAAUACCCAGUUUAUUUUACCAGUAUGCAUUUGGAUUUUAUAAUAUGCAUUCUUAAGAUAGAUUGAAAUCAAGAGUAUCUGUGAUAUGAAAAGAUUGUAGUUUCUGUAAUAUUUGAUUCUAAUCUCGUUUUUGGUCAUGCAUGUAAUUGGGUAUACAAUAUUCAAAUUUUCCCGAAAAAGACACUGAAAAUGUUUCAAACGACUGUAAAAGACAUGGAUGUAAAUUUAUCAGCUGUAUGCAUGUUCUUUCCACUGAGAAAGCAGGUUAUCUUUAAAGUUAAGCCAACUUAAAAUCGAUAAACAAAAAUGAUUGUCUUCCAUAUUCCAAGUAUAUGCACCUUCAAGGUAUGUCUUUGAGAUGGAAGUUGGGGGGUUUGUAUUCUGUGUUCAACAGUUGCUGUUUUAAUGAGAGGAAAGAAUUAUCACUGUAUAAAAUUAUUAAUCUUAUGGAUUGUGCAUGGUUCAUUCGUAUUAAUCUAAUAGAAGUGUAUGAUUGAGAGAUAGUUCCCCUUAUCAUCCUAUAAAUAACAGAAAGAAUUGAAGACCUACAGGUUUUUCUUUCUUUAUAAUGUUUUUCACCUUGUAGUAGUCGCAGUUUGUAAUUUAUUAGCAAUCAUACCAACAUUUGUAUAUGUGUAAAAGUGCAACUUCAUUUUGAUUUUUUUUUUAAAUUGUGUUAUAACCCCUCCCUCCCUGUUGAGAAAAAAAUUGAUUGUGUAACAAGGAUAAACCUGGUUUUCUGUGUGUAAUUGAUAAAACUUAACGUACUGUAUGCUAUGGUUUGACCAAAGAGGUUAGAAUGAGUGUGUUUUUAAACAAUCUUAAUCUAGAUUCCAUUCAGCUUUGGUAAAUUCCAUGUAAUAAAUCAUAAUGAGUAUAUUACAAUUAAGUCACUUUUGUACAAUAAAAAUCAUAUC